rnacentral:rRNA from 1 species
CAAGCCUGAUCCAGCAAUGCCGCGUGCAGGAAGAAGGCCUUCGGGUUGUAAACUGCUUUUGUCAGGGAAGAAAUCUUCUGGGUUAAUACCUCGGGAGGAUGACGGUACCUGAAGAAUAAGCACCGGCUAACUACGUGCCAGCAGCCGCGGUAAUACGAAGGGGGCUAGCGUUGUUCGGAUUUACUGGGCGUAAAGCGCACGUAGGCGGACUUUUAAGUCAGGGGUGAAAUCCCGGGGCUCAACCCCGGAACUGCCUUUGAUACUGGAAGUCUUGAGUAUGGUAGAGCUGAGUGGAAUUCCGAGUGUAGAGGUGAAAUUCGUAGAUAUUCGGAGGAACACCAGUGGCGAAGGCGGCCCACUGGACCAUUACUGACGCUGAGGUGCGAAAGCGUGGGGAGCAAACA